UGGGGAAUUUUGGACAAUGGGGGCAACCCUGAUCCAGCAAUGCCGCGUGUGUGAAGAAGGCCUUCGGGUUGUAAAGCACUUUUGUCCGGGAAGAAAUCGCACCUGAUAAUACCGGGUGUGGAUGACGGUACCGGAAGAAUAAGGACCGGCUAACUACGUGCCAGCAGCCGCGGUAAUACGUAGGGUCCAAGCGUUAAUCGGAAUUACUGGGCGUAAAGCGUGCGCAGGCGGUUGUGCAAGACCGAUGUGAAAUCCCCGGGCUUAACCUGGGAAUUGCAUUGGUGACUGCACGGCUAGAGUGUGUCAGAGGGGGGUAGAAUUCCACGUGUAGCAGUGAAAUGCGUAGAGAUGUGGAGGAAUACCGAUGGCGAAGGCAGCCCCCUGGGAUAACACAGACGCUCAUGCACGAAAGCGUGGGGAGCAAACAGG
rnacentral:rRNA from 1 species